AAUAUGACAAGGCUUCUUAGUUCCUCCCGUUCCAUUGGGAACAUUGGUCAACGAGACCUCGCCAUCUGCCUCUGUCAUGAGCGGUCUCCA